GACAGAGGGUGCAAACGUUGUUCGGAAUUACUGGGCGUAAAGCGUGUGUAGGCGGCCAUAUAAGUCGGAUGUGAAAGCCCUGGGCUCAACCCAGGAAGUGCACUCGAUACUGUGUGGCUUGAGUAUCGGAGAGGUUGGUGGAAUUCUCGGUGUAGAGGUGAAAUUCGUAGAUAUCGAGAGGAACACCGGUGGCGAAGGCGGCCAACUGGACGAAUACUGACGCUGAGGAGCGAAAGCGUGGGGAGCGAACAGG
rnacentral:rRNA from 1 species